GGACGCAUGCCGGGUGCUAUACAUGCAGUCGAGCGACUGACGAGGAGCUUGCUCCUUUGACGUUAGCGGCGGACGGGUGAGUAACACGUGGGUAACCUACCUAUAAGACUGGAAUAACUCCGGGAAACCGGGGCUAAUGCCGGAUAACAUAUCGAACCGCAUGGUUCGAUAGUGAAAGACGGUCUUGCUGUCACUUAUAGAUGGACCCGCGCCGUAUUAGCUAGUUGGUGAGGUAACGGCUCACCAAGGCAACGAUACGUAGCCGACCUGAGAGGGUGAUCGGCCACACUGGAACUGAGACACGGUCCAGACUCCUACGGGAGGCAGCAGUAGGGAAUCUUCCGCAAUGGGCGAAAGCCUGACGGAGCAACGCCGCGUGAGUGAUGAAGGUCUUCGGAUCGUAAAGCUCUGUUGUUAGGGAAGAACAAAUGUGUAAGUAACUGUGCACAUCUUGACGGUACCUAACCAGAAAGCCACGGCUAACUACGUGCCAGCAGCCGCGGUAAUACGUAGGUGGCAAGCGUUAUCCGGAAUUAUUGGGCGUAAAGCGCGCGUAGGCGGUUUUUUAAGUCUGAUGUGAAAGCCCACGGCUCAACCGUGGAGGGUCAUUGGAAACUGGAAAACUUGAGUGCAGAAGAGGAAAGUGGAAUUCCAUGUGUAGCGGUGAAAUGCGCAGAGAUAUGGAGGAACACCAGUGGCGAAGGCGGCUUUCUGGUCUGUAACUGACGCUGAUGUGCGAAAGCGUGGGGAUCAAACAGGAUUAGAUACCCUGGUAGUCCACGCCGUAAACGAUGAGUGCUAAGUGUUAGGGGGUUUCCGCCCCUUAGUGCUGCAGCUAACGCAUUAAGCACUCCGCCUGGGGAGUACGGUCGCAAGACUGAAACUCAAAGGAAUUGACGGGGACCCGCACAAGCGGUGGAGCAUGUGGUUUAAUUCGAAGCAACGCGAAGAACCUUACCAAAUCUUGACAUCUUUUGACCACUCUAGAGAUAGAGUUUUCCUCUUCGGAGGACAAAAUGACAGGUGGUGCAUGGUUGUCGUCAGCUCGUGUCGUGAGAUGUUGGGUUAAGUCCCGCAACGAGCGCAACCCUUGAGCUUAGUUGCCAUCAUUAAGUUGGGCACUCUAAGUUGACUGCCGGUGACAAACCGGAAGGAAGGUGGGGGAUGACGUCAAAUCAUCC
rnacentral:rRNA from 1 species